CAAAACUAUCGGAUGAGAGA
rnacentral:miRNA from 1 species